CAUGGAUCUGUUUGGAGAUAUAGACGACGUUUCUUCUGAGAGUGAUGAGGGCAAUCAACCACCUAUUCCAGGACAGCUGAUUGAUGAACAUGGAGUGCCUCAGGACCAGCAGGAGGAAGAGCCAAUUUCUGAAACCAUAAUAGAAGAAGAAAUUCCCAGUAUCAACUCUGAUUUAGGAAAUGAAUUGUAUUUUGUUAAACUACCCAAGUUUCUCAGUAUAGAACCCAA
rnacentral:lncRNA from 1 species